rnacentral:rRNA from 1 species
UAGGGAAUCUUCCGCAAUGGACGCAAGUCUGACGGAGCAACGCCGCGUGAGUGAAGAAGGAUUUCGGUUCGUAAAACUCUGUUGUUAGAGAAGAACAGCGCAUAGAGUAACUGUUAUGCGUGUGACGGUAUCUAACCAGAAAGCCACGUCUAACUACGUGCCAGCAGCCGCGGUAAUACGUAGGUGGCAAGCGUUGUCCGGAUUUAUUGGGCGUAAAGCGAGCGCAGGCGGUCAAUUAAGUCUGAUGUGAAAGCCCCCGGCUCAACCGGGGAGGGGCAUUGGAAACUGGUUUACUUGAGUGCAGAAGAGGAGAGUGGAAUUGCAUGUGUAGCGGUGAAAUGCGUAGAUAUAUGGAGGAACACCAGUGGCGAAGGCGACUUUCUGGUCUGUAACUGACGCUGAGGCUCGAAGGCGUGGGUAGCAAACAGG